AGAGUUUGAUCAUGGCUCAGGAUGAACGCUAGCUACAGGCUUAACACAUGCAAGUCGAGGGGCAGCAUUGGAGUAGCAAUACUCAGAUGGCGACCGGCGCACGGGUGAGUAACACGUAUCCAACCUGCCGCUUACUCGGGGAUAGCCUUUCGAAAGAAAGAUUAAUACCCGAUGGUAUAAAGAGUUCGCAUGUUCUCUUUAUUAAAGAAUUUCGGUAAGCGAUGGGGAUGCGUUCCAUUAGAUAGUUGGCGGGGUAACGGCCCACCAAGUCUACGAUGGAUAGGGGUUCUGAGAGGAAGGUCCCCCACAUUGGAACUGAGACACGGUCCAAACUCCUACGGGAGGCAGCAGUGAGGAAUAUUGGUCAAUGGACGAGAGUCUGAACCAGCCAAAAGUAGCGUGAAGGAUGACUGCCCUAUGGGUUGUAAACUUCUUUUAUAAGGGAAUAAAGUGAGGGACGUGUCCCUUUUUGUAUGUACCUUAUGAAUAAGGAUCGGCUAACUCCGUGCCAGCCGCGGC
rnacentral:rRNA from 1 species